UUAUGUUUCAGUCUCCUCUUGUUUGAAUCAAAAGGCUGUCGUUUAGACAUGACUUGUGUGGAACUGUUGCGUUGUUGACCAUAAACCAACAAUUACCAUCACUGCCAUCUGAAAAAUGUGUACUCCUGCAUGUCACCAAAAUAAACUGGGAAAUUA